UACAGAGGGUGCGAGCGUUGUUCGGAAUUACUGGGCGUAAAGGGCGCGUAGGCGGCGUGACAAGUCACUUGUGAAAUCUCCGGGCUUAACCCGGAACGGUCAAGUGAUACUGUCGUGCUAGAGUACAGAAGGGGCAACUGGAAUUCUCGGUGUAGCGGUGAAAUGCGUAGAUAUCGAGAGGAACACCUGCGGCGAAGGCGGGUUGCUGGGCUGAUACUGACGCUGAGGCGCGAAAGCCAGGGGAGCGAACGGG
rnacentral:rRNA from 1 species